rnacentral:rRNA from 1 species
ACGGCCGCGGUACUCUGACUGUGCAAAGGUAGCAUAAUCAUUUGCCCUUUGAUUGGGGGCUGGAAUGAAUGGAAUAACGAGGUUUCAGCUGUCUCUUUUUUUGUUAUGGAACUUGCUGUUUUUGUGAAGAAGCAAAAAUAUAAAAAAAAGACAAGAAGACCCUAUUAAGCUUUAUCUGUUUGCUUUUGUUUUUUGUAAUUUGAUAAAAUAUAUUAAUGCAAAGCGUGGGUUUUGUUGGGGCGAUAGAAAAAGAUAAGGAUCUUUUUUUUUUUUUGAAACUAAUUGUUGAAGGAAGGGCCAAAAAUUUUGAUAGGAAGAAUGAGUUACUAUAGGGAUAACAGCGUAAUUUUUUCUGAGAGUUCUUAUUGAAGAAAGAGAUUGCGACCUCGAUGUUGACUUGUCAUUUCCGUUAGGUGUA